UUGGAAGCAGAUGGCCGAUAAUUACUGAAACAAUUCUGAUUUUGUACAAAAAAAUUCUCAACGAGGUUAGUUAAUGGUUAUCAUGAUUGCAACAUGGCCAAUUCCUUUCAUCU
ensembl:miRNA Mir496b microRNA 496b